GGGGUUGACACUAAGGUUUCAAAAGCACUUGCCCAUCGGGCAAGUACAGGUCAGGUUCAACUUGCCCGAAUGUAAUGUUCACUUGCCCAAAUUAUAAUCAGAAUCAAAAAUCAUGUUAGCUUCCACACAUGUUGUGUUUAAAAAAUAACAAACUUCUCUUUGUUUACUUAUUUAUCGAGCGGUCACAUCGUGCCAUGAAGUGAUUUCAGUCCACCGUUCCAACCUAUUAAAGCUAUCGCCAAGUUAUAUGUAGACCUGCAUGAUUUUAUGCAAAAUUACAUAACUAAAUGUCAGAGGUAGUAGCAAAGAUAUGUCUUUUUAACUUUCAAGUUUCUUGUAGCUCUAACUGAAUAAUCACAAUCGCGUUUCUAGUAGGGUUGUCAGUCACGAUACUGGAUUUUCUAACUUCAACACUAUUCCUGGAAAAAGAUCGAUAUUCUAUACCAUUUUUGAUUUUUUUCAGGAAAGAACAUACCCAAAGUAAAUAGAUUAUAUCUCCACAACUGCAAGAUCGAUAAUGUCAUCUUUGGGCCAAAAAGAAAGAUUGUUGUGCAAGUGAAAUAUUCAAUGGGGAUAAUACUUGGUUAAAGUGAAUAAAGCCAUGGAACACAGCAUAAGUGGAAGAUAACAUUUCCACCUGAAAUAAUUAUCAGUAUCAGAUGGUCGUUAUCAGUUGGGAGUGCUGUCUUACUAUGAGACACAAAUAAGGUAGAUAUCUUACAAUUUAGACACUUGACACUAGGGAUCGACCGAUAUAUCGGUCGGCCGAUAUUAUCGGCCGAUAUUCGCGUUUUUUUACGUGUAUCGGUAUCGGCCGAUACGCGGCUGAUUUUCGCCGAUUUUUUAUUUUAUUUUUUUUUUUACUUGUUCUACCUCACCUGUUUUUAAUAUUUGUUAAAUAUUGUUCAUCUACUUGUU